rfam:Caenorhabditis japonica strain DF5081 Contig18089.7, whole genome shotgun sequence.
CCAACGGCCCUCUUUAGGGCCACAUUUGCAAAUCCAAACCUUUCUUU